rnacentral:antisense_RNA from 1 species
AGUAUCCGAAGAUAAUUGCUGGAUUUAGGGUUGGGUUAGUAAUGACGCGAACAUCACCACCACCUGGUGCCCAAGUAUCGUACAGACCGCCAAAGAACAUUGCUUUGAGGACUAACAAGAGUGCACCACAUCCUAAAAUAAUGAGGUGGAACCCGAUGAUGUUGGUCAUCUUGUUCUUAUCUUUCCA